UUGUUUUUGGUUGGAUGUUUCCUUUAGCCAUUCUUGAGGCCUGAUUUAUUACGCAUGCUAUUUUUUGAGUGUAGGUAUCUUGUUCCUGCUGACUUAACUAUGGGGCAAUUUGUUUAGGUGAUUCGAAAGAGUAUGAAUCUGACCCAUGAGAAGGCCAUUUUCUUCUUUGUGAAGAAUAUUUUGCCACCCACUGCUUCGCCAUUUCUAUGAUGCGUGGUCAAAUUUAGCUAGUGCAUAUAUGAGGAAAGGAAGACUUAAUGAGGCAGCCCGGUGUUGUCACCAGGCUCUUGCAUUGAACCCUCGCUUGUUUGUCAGAAAAUGCAUAUGUUCUUGUGGUAGAGGUAUUGAAGAAAAUGCAUAUAUUCUGUAGGCAUUAAGCUCCCUUGUUGCUUCACUACUUGAGAAAGAAAAGGAUCUUCAACUUCUUUCUGACUGGUCCAAUUCCUCCUGCUUUGGUUAUUCUGCUUUUGAAGAAGUUCUCCCACAUGCUCCAACAUUGAUGACUGAUGUGUUUGGCAAUUAUGUUAUUUGAAAGUUUUUUUUAUCAUGGAAGCCCUGAGCAGAGAAAAGAACUAGCAAAUCAGCUUGCUGGCCACAUUCAACCUUGGAGCCUUCAGAUGUAUGGGUGCCGGGUAAUUCAAAAGGGCCCUACACAAUUCAAUUUGGCUAAUCCACGCUUACACAUGUUACCCUUUUUAAUGGAAGGUAUGUGCUUGAUUUUAUUUUUAUUAUUAUUAUAGUUGUUGUGGGAUGCAAAUAUGCUCUACUUGAAUUCAUGAUGGGAGCUGAUUACUUGGGUUUUACCAACCAAAGGGUAGGUGUUAAUGCAGAUGGACAACAUUCUUAUAAUCUCAGACUAGUUUGAGAUCUGUGACUAAGACUCACUAACACAACAUCGGCACCAUAUAUAGACCAAUGUUUCAAAAAUUGAACCAUAGGCCAACCCAUUUCAUAAGUAGGAAGAAAAUCAGGUGCAAUAGAAAUGCUUGUUUUAGUUGAUGGCAGGAAGAUGUGAACCUAAUGCUUGAGAAUUAGUUUGA